AACCCAUGCCAUACAAAUAUUCACGAAGUAGCAAGUACAGUUCCCUUGUGGGUGUAACUGGGUCAUUGUCUUGAAUGAGUGACUGAACAUCUUCUCUUUGUUCCUCACUAAA